UGUAUGACGGCCAAUGCAACGGCUUACAAGCUAUGUCCAAACAGGUUUGAUUACAUAUUACUUCACAUUCUUACACAAAUAUACAUUUCACAUAGAACGUUAGACUACUAGGUUGAGUUUUGUAAGGGCAUGCUCGGUGAGCCGCUACCUGGGCACGAUGUAUGACGGCCAAUGCAACGGCUUACAAGCUAUGUCCAAACAGGUUUGAAAAUUUAAUACAUCACAAUUUUGUACAAGUAUAUAUUUCACAUAGAACGUUAGACUACUAGGAUGAGUUUUGCAAGGGCAUGCUCGGUGAGCCGUUACCUGGGCACGAUGUAUGACGGCCAAUGCAACGGCUUACAAGCUAUGUCCAAACAGGUUUGAAAAUUUAAUACAUCACAAUUUUGUACAAGUAUAUAUUUCACAUAGAACGUUAGACUACUAGGAUGAGUUUUGCAAGGGCAUGCUCGGUGAGCCGUUACCUGGGCACGAUGUAUGACGGCCAAUGCAACGGCUUACAAGCAAUGUCCAAACAGGUUUGAAAAUUUAAUACAUCACAAUUUUGUACAAGUAUAUAUUUCACAUAGAACGUUAGACUACUAGGAUGAGUUUUGCAAGGGCAUGCUCGGUGAGCCGCUACCUGGGCACGAUGUAUGACGGCCAAUGCAACGGCUUACAAGCUAUGUCCAAACAGGUUUGAUUACAUAUUACUUCACAUUCUUACACAAAUAUACAUUUCACAUAGAACGUUAGACUACUAGGAUGAGUUUUGUAAGGGCAUGCUCGGUGAGCCGCUACCUGGGCACGAUGUAUGACGGCCAAUGCAACGGCUUACAAGCUAUGUCCAAACAGGUUUGAUUACAUAUUACUUCACAUUCUUACACAAAUAUACAUUUCACAUAGAACGUUAGACUACUAGGAUGAGUUUUGUAAGGGCAUGCUCGGUGAGCCGCUACCUGGGCACGAUGUAUGACGGCCAAUGCAACGGCUUACAAGCUAUGUCCAAACAGGUUUGAAAAUUUAAUACAUCACAAUUUUGUACAAGUAUAUAUUUCACAUAGAACGUUAGACUACUAGGAUGAGUUUUGCAAGGGCAUGCUCGGUGAGCCGUUACCUGGGCACGAUGUAUGACGGCCAAUGCAACGGCUUACAAGCUAUGUCCAAACAGGUUUGAAAAUUUAAUACAUCACAAUUUUGUACAAGUAUAUAUUUCACAUAGAACGUUAGACUACUAGGAUGAGUUUUGCAAGGGCAUGCUCGGUGAGCCGUUACCUGGGCACGAUGUAUGACGGCCAAUGCAACGGCUUACAAGCAAUGUCCAAACAGGUUUGAAAAUUUAAUACAUCACAAUUUUGUACAAGUAUAUAUUUCACAUAGAACGUUAGACUACUAGGAUGAGUUUUGCAAGGGCAUGCUCGGUGAGCCGCUACCUGGGCACGAUGUAUGACGGCCAAUGCAACGGCUUACAAGCUAUGUCCAAACAGGUUUGAUUACAUAUUACUUCACAUUCUUACACAAAUAUACAUUUCACAUAGAACGUUAGACUACUAGGAUGAGUUUUGUAAGGGCAUGCUCGGUGAGCCGCUACCUGGGCACGAUGUAUGACGGCCAAUGCAACGGCUUACAAGCUAUGUCCAAACAGGUUUGAAAAUUUAAUACAUCACAAUUUUGUACAAGUAUAUAUUUCACAUAGAACGUUAGACUACUAGGAUGAGUUUUGCAAGGGCAUGCUCGGUGAGCCGUUACCUGGGCACGAUGUAUGACGGCCAAUGCAACGGCUUACAAGCUAUGUCCAAACAGGUUUGAUUACAUAUUACUUCACAUUCUUACACAAAUAUACAUUUCACAUAGAACGUUAGACUACUAGGUUGAGUUUUGUAAGGGCAUGCUCGGUGAGCCGCUACCUGGGCACGAUGUAUGACGGCCAAUGCAACGGCUUACAAGCUAUGUCCAAACAGGUUUGAUUACAUAUUACUUCACAUUCUUACACAAAUAUACAUUUCACAUAGAACGUUAGACUACUAGGUUGAGUUUUGUAAGGGCAUGCUCGGUGAGCCGCUACCUGGGCACGAUGUAUGACGGCCAAUGCAACGGCUUACAAGCAAUGUUCAAACAGGUUUGAAAAUUUAAUACAUCACAAUUUUGUACAAGUAUAUAUUUCACAUAGAACGUUAGACUACUAGGAUGAGUUUUGCAAGGGCAUGCUCGGUGAACCGCUACCUGGGCACGAUGUAUGACGGCCAAUGCAACGGCUUACAAGCUAUGUCCAAACAGGUUUGAUUACAUAUUACUUCACAUUCUUACACAAAUAUACAUUUCACAUAGAACGUUAGACUACUAGGUUGAGUUUUGUAAGGGCAUGCUCGGUGAGCCGCUACCUGGGCACGAUGUAUGACGGCCAAUGCAACGGCUUACAAGCUAUGUCCAAACAGGUUUGAAAAUUUAAUACAUCACAAUUUUGUACAAGUAUACAUUUCACAUAGAACGUUAGACUACUAGGAUGAGUUUUGCAAGGGCAUGCUCGGUGAGCCGUUACCUGGGCACGAUGUAUGACGGCCAAUGCAACGGCUUACAAGCUAUGUCCAAACAGGUUUGAUUAUACAAUACAUCACAUUUUUACACAAAUAUACAUUUCACAUAGAACGUUAGACUACUAGGAUGAGUUUUGUAAGGGCAUGCUCGGUGAGCCGUUACCUGGGCACGAUGUAUGACGGCCAAUGCAACGGCUUACAAGCUAUGUCCAAACAGGUUUGAAAAUUUAAUACAUCAUAUUUUUGUACAAGUAUAUAUUUCACAUAGAACGUUAGACUACUAGGAUGAGUUUUGCAAGGGCAUGCUCGGUGAGCCGUUACCUGGGCACGAUGUAUGACGGCCAAUGCAACGGCUUACAAGCUAUGUCCAAACAGGUUUGAUUAUAUAACAUAUCACAUUUUUUACAAGUACACGUUUCACAUAGAACGUUAGACUACUAGGAGAAGUUUUGUAUGGGAAUGCUCGACGAGGCCUUUAAAGUUAGCUCAUUACAUAAAACCGAAAAUUAUCUUUAAUUACAAUGCAUUUCGAUCUCUGCAUGUCGAGUCUAUCUAUAUCAGCGGUAGCGUUAGCACCAUAAACUAACAAUGUUACAACACUGUCAGUUUACUAAUAUACAACUUUCAUUACUAGGAAAAGAGAUUAUGCUAAUUCCAACGCUGAGAAACAUAGAACCCAAAUCAUAAAAUAACUAAAACAUGCAUGGUAUCGAAAUGUCACAUUUAUUAUUUCUAAUAUCCAGAGUGUGGUUACAUGUUUAGUAAUAUAAUACAUCAGGUCUUAUACAAAUAUACAUUUAACUUAGAACGUUAGAACACUAGGAUGAGUUUUGUAAGGGCAUGCUCGGUGGGCCGUUACCUGGGCACGAUGUAUGACGGCCAAUGCAAUGGCUAACGAGCUAUGUCCGAACACGUUUUGUAACUUAAUACAUCACAUUUUUAUACAAAUAUACAUUUUACAUAGAACAUUAGAACACUAGGAUGAGUUUUGUAAGGGCAUGCUCGGUGGGCCGUUACCAGGGCACGAUGUAUGACGGCCAAUGCAAUGGCUAACGAGCUAUGUCCGAACACGUUUUGUAACUUAAUACAUCACAUUUUUGUACAAAUAUACAUUUUACAUAGAACACUAGGAUGAGUUUUGUAAGGGCAUGCUCGGUGGGCCGUUACCUGGGCACGAUGUAUGACGGCCAAUGCAAUGGCUAACGAGCUAUGUCCGAACACGUUUUAUAACUUUAAUACAUCAGAUUUUAUGCAAAUAUACAUUUUACAUAGAACAUAAGAACACUAGGAUGAGUUUUGUAAAGGCAUGCUCGGUGGGCCGUUACCUGGGCACGAUGUAUUACGGCCAAUGCAAUGGCUAACGAGCUAUGUCCGAACACGUUUUAUAACUUUAAUACAUCAGAUUUUAUGCAAAUAUACAUUUUACAUAGAACAUUAGAACACUAGGAUGAGUUUUGUAAGGGCAUGCUCGGUGGGCCGUUACCUGGGCACGAUGUAUUACGGCCAAUGCAAUGGCUAACGAGCUAUGUCCGAACACGUUUUAUAACUUUAAUACAUCAGAUUUUAUGCAAAUAUACAUUUUACAUAGAACAUUAGAACACUAGGAUGAGUUUUGUAAGGGCAUGCUCGGUGGGCCGUUACCUGGGCACGAUGUAUUACGGCCAAUGCAAUGGCUAACGAGCUAUGUCCGAACACGUUUUAUAACUUUAAUACAUCAGAUUUUAUGCAAAUAUACAUUUUACAUAGAACAUUAGAACACUAGGAUGAGUUUUGUAAGGGCAUGCUCGGUGGGCCGUUACCUGGGCACGAUGUAUUACGGCCAAUGCAAUGGCUAACGAGCUAUGUCCGAACACGUUUUAUAACUUUAAUACAUCAGAUUUUAUGCAAAUAUACAUUUUACAUAGAACAUUAGAACACUAGGAUGAGUUUUGUAAGGGCAUGCUCGGUGGGCCGUUACCUGGGCACGAUGUAUUACGGCCAAUGCAAUGGCUAACGAGCUAUGUCCGAACACGUUUUAUAACUUUAAUACAUCAGAUUUUAUGCAAAUAUACAUUUUACAUAGAACAUUAGAACACUAGGAUGAGUUUUGUAAGGGCAUGCUCGGUGGGCCGUUACCUGGGCACGAUGUAUUACGGCCAAUGCAAUGGCUAACGAGCUAUGCCCCAACUUAUAAUUAUUACAAAUACGAUGAAUCAUUAACAAACUACAUUCAACAGAUUAAAAUAGAUACAUUUAUUAAUAAUUUACUCAAUAUAUGUGAAAAGGAAUAUUUUGGAGUGUCUUUUGCAGUUAACUGAAUCUUUAGUGGAAUUGUAGUUAAAACGAACCUGACGAGGCAUUGCACCGGCUCCGUGGAAACCGACGCAAUGCCUCGCCAAGCACGUCUCAACUGUGGAAUAUGUUUCUAUAUUCAUAAUGAAAAAGUACACAAAAGUUGGCAGGAGAAGUCGCAAUAUUAAAAGCAAAUCGCAAACGCACGCAAAUGGUUUUAUUAAUUGAAAAUUGUACAGUAGCAACCCUGCGGAUACUUCACAGGCUGUAUCUAAGAGACAUAAACCUGUAUCUAGUUACCUGUAAUCCAACCAGCAUUUAUCAAAAAAGCGUUACUUUAGCAACGUUCGGUACAUAUUUUCAGUCUUACCUUCGGGAGUUAAAACCUUAACGCAAUGGCUACGAUUUCUUAUUUCUAACAUGAAAAAUAUUAUAUACUUACAGCUGC